AACGAACGCUGGCGGCAUGCCUAACACAUGCAAGUCGAACGGGAUCCUGGCUUCGGUCAGGUGAGAGUGGCGGACGGGUGAGUAACGCGUGGGAACCUGCCCAGUGGUGGGGGAUAACUGCGGGAAACUGCAGCUAAUACCGCAUGAGCCCGAAAGGGGAAAGAUUUAUCGCCAUUGGAGGGGCCCGCGUUCGAUUAGGUAGUUGGUGAGGUAAAGGCUCACCAAGCCGACGAUCGAUAGCUGGUCUGAGAGGAUGAUCAGCCACACUGGGACUGAGAUACGGCCCAGACUCCUACGGGAGGCAGCAGUGGGGGAAUAUUGGACAAUGGGGGGCAACCCUGAUCCAGCAAUGCCGCGUGAGUGAAGAAGGCC
rnacentral:rRNA from 1 species